GACGAACCGUGCAAACGUUGUUCGGAAUCACUGGGCUUAAAGGGCGCGUAGGCGGGUCAGCAAGUCCGGGGUGAAAUCUUUCGGCUCAACCGGAAAAGUGCCUUGGAUACUGCUGGUCUUGAGGGAGGUAGGGGUAUGUGGAACUUCCGGUGGAGCGGUGAAAUGCGUUGAUAUCGGAAGGAACGCCGGUGGCGAAAGCGACGUACUGGACCUCUUCUGACGCUGAGGCGCGAAAGCUAGGGGAGCAAACGGG
rnacentral:rRNA from 1 species